rnacentral:rRNA from 1 species
CCCUACGGGGGGCAGCGGUGAGGAAUAUUGGUCAAUGGGCGCGAGCCUGAACCAGCCAAGUCGCGUGAGGGAAGACGGUCCUAUGGAUUGUAAACCUCUUUUGUCGGGGAGCAAAAGACGCCACGUGUGGCGUUCCGAGAGUACCCGAAGAAAAAGCAUCGGCUAACUCCGUGCCAGCAGCCGCGGUAAUACGGAGGAUGCGAGCGUUAUCCGGAUUUAUUGGGUUUAAAGGGUGCGCAGGCGGAAGAUCAAGUCAGCGGUAAAAUUGAGAGGCUCAACCUCUUCUAGCCGUUGCAACUGGUUUU